ensembl:lncRNA
GAGUGUACAGUGAGAGUGUACAGUGAGCGUCUACAGUGAGAGUGAGAGUGUACAGUGAGAGUGUACAGUGUGAGUGAGAGUGUACAGUGAGAGUGUACAGUGUGAGUGAGAAGUGUACAGUGAGAGUGUACAGUGAGAGUGAGAGUGUAGAGUGAGAGUGUAGAGUGAGACUGAGAGUGAACAGUGAGAGUGUAGAGUGAGAGUGUAGAGUGAGAGUGAACAGUGAGAGUGUAGAGUGAGAGUGAGAGUGAGAGUGUACAGUGAGAGUGAGAGUGUAGAGUGAGAGUGUACAGUGAGAGUGAGAGUGUAGAGUGAGAGUGUAGAGUGAGAGUGUAGAGUGAGAGUGAGAGUGUAGAGAGUGUGCAGUGGUAGUAAAUGUUGUGAGAGAGUGAACGACACUUACCAGUGGUGAAUGUGAGGGUGAGUAAGAGCAGGACACAGUGGUGAACGCUGCAGGACUGCAUGGCUGAGGAGACACAACACCACCAUCAGUACUGCACAGGUGGAGAAUAAAGCAGGAGAGAGAAACACACUCACAGCUACAUUUUAUCAAUAAACCUGCAGUUUACUGGAAUGCAGAACAUUUUAAAAGCAUUAAUCAGUAAAUCAGUAUAUUAUAGCAGCUGUAAACACUCGUUCCCUCACCAGUCUCUCUUUUUUCCCUCUCUCUAUUCCCUCUUUAGAUUCACUCUGUUCAAGUUAAUUAGAUAAAAACUUGUGUUAGUGAGAAAUAGUAAAGUAGUCUAAACUCCACUGUGAUGGAGAUGGGAAACCUUAAAGUUACAGCUUAACCUCUGACUGUUACAGAGCGGUGACACUGGAGACUCCUUCCAUAAAUCUGUCUAUGUGGAGCUGUUACUAUAGUUAUGAUAUAUUAGCGCGAACGCAUUAAAUAAACUUGCGCUACUGUCAGAGCUGAUCAAUUAAGCUGAACUAAUCACCACCUCCUGACCAAUCAAAAUCCAGAUCUCAGCAGCAGCAGAGGAUAAAUUAGGGAUAAAAUCAUACAUUUAAAAUCUAUAUCCUGAAUGUAUAUAUUUAUCUGUAACGCUGCUUUGGGACAACGUCCACUGUUAAAAGAGAGAUACAAAUAAAAAUGAUCUGAACUGAAUGAAGGUCAUAACGUCAUCUGUGUAUUAGCAGAACAGCGUCCACACGUGUCACGUGGUAUAAGACGAUGGUAUCAGAGCAUGUUUAUGAGUACCACUACGAGUAAAUGAACACAGUAGUGGAGCGAUAGCAGACCCCAGCAUCAGUAUCCACACACCUCCAGUCAUAAUAACACACCAGCUUCCAGUAGCAGUGAGUGUAGUGGUGUAGUAUUCAGACAUACUGCACUGUUUACUACCUUACUGUGUGGAUUACCUUCAACUGCCCUCACCUUCACUGACACACUGUCCAUCUGUUUAAAAGCUCACCAAGAUCACCACCACUUCAACACUUCUUCACCAGCUAACAUGUUGUGUAAUCACAUCCAGCUGCUUUCAUGUUCCACACAACAACUCCAAUAAAAACACACAGGACUUCUACACAACAGUCGGGAUUUCUCCACAACUGCUGAAAACUCCAUCUUGGUCUGACCGACAGGCCGAGCUGCUCCCACUGGUGGACACAAACAGUUACUACAUCACAGCUACUAAUACCACAGCAUAGACCCGCGUUUUAAAGAGAACACCACAACAGUGGGGUCAGUAGAACAUCUGAAACACUUCCUGCUCAGUUUAGUCAGUAAUGAGGAAGAUUAGGAGAACUGAGCACCAGGAGAAGAUGGGCUGCAGUGUGAGCAGCUGGGAUUGGGUUUAGGUCACACUACGCUGGAGUUUUCAGCAGGAAGAGCUUUAACAUCACCUCACUUCCUGUUUGUUUGUUUAACGCUUUGUGGUUUCUCAGUAACACAACAAGCUGCAGGGGUUUUUGUCUCAUUAACUGAUUCUGUAGUUGUUUCAGUGAUACAAUAAACAAAUCACACACACACACACACACAUAUAUAUAACUACAUUUCAGUCAGCUAACAAUACUAUAGAUCUGAACACACAUCAGUCCCCACACACACACACAUAUACAGUAUUAUACACACACUACUGACACACACACACACACACACACACACACACAC